CACUCAUCCAGAGAGGUGGAGGGAUCGGCCCUGUGAAACCUCGGCAACCACAAUCGUGCGAUUGUAGGUGCCAAUUCCGGCAGAAGCAGCCCAACGAGGCGGACUUCUGGGAGAUGAGGG
rnacentral:ncRNA from 1 species